rnacentral:rRNA from 2 species
AGAGUUUGAUCCUGGCUCAGGAUGAACGCUGGCGGCGUGCCUAAUACAUGCAAGUCGAGCGAACGGACGAGAAGCUUGCUUCUCUGAUGUUAGCGGCGGACGGGUGAGUAACACGUGGAUAACCCACCUAUAAGACUGGGAUAACUUCGGGAAACCGGAGCUAAUACCGGAUAAUAUUUUGAACCGCAUGGUUCAAAAGUGAAAGACGGUCUUGCUGUCACUUAUAGAUGGAUCCGCGCUGCAUUAGCUAGUUGGUAAGGUAACGGCUUACCAAGGCAACGAUGCAUAGCCGACCUGAGAGGGUGAUCGGCCACACUGGAACUGAGACACGGUCCAGACUCCUACGGGAGGCAGCAGUAGGGAAUCUUCCGCAAUGGGCGAAAGCCUGACGGAGCAACGCCGCGUGAGUGAUGAAGGUCUUCGGAUCGUAAAACUCUGUUAUUAGGGAAGAACAUAUGUGUAAGUAACUGUGCACAUCUUGACGGUACCUAAUCAGAAAGCCACGGCUAACUACGUGCCAGCAGCCGCGGUAAUACGUAGGUGGCAAGCGUUAUCCGGAAUUAUUGGGCGUAAAGCGCGCGUAGGCGGUUUUUUAAGUCUGAUGUGAAAGCCCACGGCUCAACCGUGGAGGGUCAUUGGAAACUGGAAAACUUGAGUGCAGAAGAGGAAAGUGGAAUUCCAUGUGUAGCGGUGAAAUGCGCAGAGAUAUGGAGGAACACCAGUGGCGAAGGCGACUUUCUGGUCUGUAACUGACGCUGAUGUGCGAAAGCGUGGGGAUCAAACAGGAUUAGAUACCCUGGUAGUCCACGCCGUAAACGAUGAGUGCUAAGUGUUAGGGGGUUUCCGCCCCUUAGUGCUGCAGCUAACGCAUUAAGCACUCCGCCUGGGGAGUACGACCGCAAGGUUGAAACUCAAAGGAAUUGACGGGGACCCGCACAAGCGGUGGAGCAUGUGGUUUAAUUCGAAGCAACGCGAAGAACCUUACCAAAUCUUGACAUCCUUUGACAACUCUAGAGAUAGAGCCUUCCCCUUCGGGGGACAAAGUGACAGGUGGUGCAUGGUUGUCGUCAGCUCGUGUCGUGAGAUGUUGGGUUAAGUCCCGCAACGAGCGCAACCCUUAAGCUUAGUUGCCAUCAUUAAGUUGGGCACUCUAAGUUGACUGCCGGUGACAAACCGGAGGAAGGUGGGGAUGACGUCAAAUCAUCAUGCCCCUUAUGAUUUGGGCUACACACGUGCUACAAUGGACAAUACAAAGGGCAGCGAAACCGCGAGGUCAAGCAAAUCCCAUAAAGUUGUUCUCAGUUCGGAUUGUAGUCUGCAACUCGACUACAUGAAGCUGGAAUCGCUAGUAAUCGUAGAUCAGCAUGCUACGGUGAAUACGUUCCCGGGUCUUGUACACACCGCCCGUCACACCACGAGAGUUUGUAACACCCGAAGCCGGUGGAGUAACCUUUUAGGAGCUAGCCGUCGAAGGUGGGACAAAUGAUUGGGGUGAAGUCGUAACAAGGUAGCCGUAUCGGAAGGUGCGGCUGGAUCACCU